rnacentral:rRNA from 1 species
AUUGAACGCUGGCGGCAGGCCUAACACAUGCAAGUCGAGCGGCAGCGGGUCCUUCGGGAUGCCGGCGAGCGGCGGACGGGUGAGUAAUGCCUAGGAAUCUGCCUGGUAGUGGGGGAUAACGCGGGGAAACUCGCGCUAAUACCGCAUACGUCCUACGGGAGAAAGUGGGGGACCUUCGGGCCUCACGCUAUCAGAUGAGCCUAGGUCGGAUUAGCUAGUUGGUAGGGUAAAGGCCUACCAAGGCGACGAUCCGUAACUGGUCUGAGAGGAUGAUCAGUCACACUGGAACUGAGACACGGUCCAGACUCCUACGGAGCAGCAGUGGGGAAUAUUGGACAAUGGCGAAAGCCUGAUCCAGCCAUGCCGCGUGUGUGAAGAAGGUCUUCGGAUUGUAAAGCACUUUAAGUUGGGAGGAAGGGCAGUAAGUUAAUACCUUGCUGUUUUGACGUUACCGACAGAAUAAGCACCGCUAACUCUGUGCCAGCAGCCGCGGUAAUACAGAGGGUGCAAGCGUUAAUCGGAAUUACUGGGCGUAAAGCGCGCGUAGGUGGUUCAGCAAGUUGGAUGUGAAAAUCCCCGGGCUCAACCUGGGAACUGCAUCCAAAACUACUGAGCUAGAGUACGGUAGAGGGUGGUGGAAUUUCCUGUGUAGCGGUGAAAUGCGUAGAUAUAGGAAGGAACACCAGUGGCGAAGGCGACCACCUGGACUGAUACUGACACUGAGGUGCG